CUUACUCAAGAUUUGGUUGAUAAUUACCUGCAGUCAAGAUCCAAGGCAUCAGGAAAGAGUCACAUGCAAAAAGCAUACAAUUAUUUCCACGAGAAAUACUUGAGAAACAGACAAAGUGACACUGAGUUUUAUUGGUGUGGCUUGUGGUUAUGUUGAAGAUGCAAAGUGUGACUGUCCCAAAGGUGAAGGGAAAGGUUGUUGCCAUAUUGGAGCCCUACUAUAUGACAUCGGUCACUUAAAGAAACUGGGAAACAAGGUGAUUCCAACAGAUCCUGUGAAAACAUCUGAGCCACAGACAUGGCAUAAACCUAUAAGGGAGAAAAUAACUGGAGUGGAAGUGCAUGACGUUGUGGCUGUUGGAUACAGCAAAAAGCACAACCCCAUGGAAGCACCUAAAAGGCAGGUGAAAUCAACAUUAUACAACCCUCUCAGGACUGAUGUGCCAGAUCAUGCUGAACUCUAUGCAUCACUGGGUAAAGUUUCACCAUCAUCAAUGAUUAUCCCAGCCUUAGAGCUACGUGUGAGUGGGUCUGUCCCAAUGGUUGAAACUUCUUUUGGUAAAUUUCAGAAGGGGUCUGUUAUAGCUGUGCUAUUGAAUCCCCACUAUAACAUUUCCAUUUUUGACAAUUUGAAGUAUCCACCAUUACCAGUAUCCAACAAGAUUGAAAACAAUAUGGUUAUGUUUCCACUGACAAAAGAAAAGCAGUUGAAAUUGGAGUGUUUGAAGUGCACUGUUGAAGAAAUACAUACAUUUGAGGAAGAAACCAGGCUACAGAGUGACUGUAGUCUUUGGUGUAAACUUAAGAAAGAUCGUCUUGGUGCUUCAAAGAUGCGCAGUGUACUUACCAGAAGAGACAACUAUGAAAGACUAGAUGAAGAUCUGCGGAA